rnacentral:rRNA from 1 species
CCUACGGGAGGCAGCAGUGGGGAAUAUUGGACAAUGGGGGGAACCCUGAUCCAGCGACGCCGCGUGAGUGAAGAAGUAUUUCGGUAUGUAAAGCUCUAUCAGCGGGGAAGAAAGAAAUGACGGUACCUGACUAAGAAGCCCCGGCUAACUACGUGCCAGCAGCCGCGGUAAUACGUAGGGGGCAAGCGUUAACCGGAUUUACUGGGUGUAAAGGGAGCGUAGACGGCGAUGCAAGUCCGAAGUGAAAGGCUGGGGCCCAACCUCCGGACUGCUUUGGAAACUGUAUGGCUGGAGUGCAGGAGAGGUAAGUGGAAUUCCUAGUGUAGCGGUGAAAUGCGUAGAGAUUAGGAGGAACACCAGUGGCGAAGGCGGCUUACUGGACUGUAACUGACGUUGAGGCUCGAAAGCGUGGGGAGCAAACAGGAUUAGAUACCCUUGUAGUC